rnacentral:rRNA from 1 species
ACACGUGGGUAACCUGCCUGUAAGACUGGGAUAACUCCGGGAAACCGGGGCUAAUACCGGAUGCUUGAUUGAACCGCAUGGUUCAAUUAUAAAAGGUGGCUUUUAGCUACCACUUACAGAUGGACCCGCGGCGCAUUAGCUAGUUGGUGAGGUAACGGCUCACCAAGGCAACGAUGCGUAGCCGACCUGAGAGGGUGAUCGGCCACACUGGGACUGAGACACGGCCCAGACUCCUACGGGAGGCAGCAGUAGGGAAUCUUCCGCAAUGGACGAAAGUCUGACGGAGCAACGCCGCGUGAGUGAUGAAGGUUUUCGGAUCGUAAAACUCUGUUGUUAGGGAAGAACAAGUACCGUUCGAAUAGGGCGGUACCUUGACGGUACCUAACCAGAAAGCCACGGCUAACUACGUGCCAGCAGCCGCGGUAAUACGUAGGUGGCAAGCGUUGUCCGGAAUUAUUGGGCGUAAAGCGCGCGCAGGCGGUUUCUUAAGUCUGAUGUGAAAGCCCCCGGCUCAACCGGGGAGGGUCAUUGGAAACUGGGGAACUUGAGUGCAGAAGAGGAGAGUGGAAUUCCACGUGUAGCGGUGAAAUGCGUAGAGAUGUGGAGGAACACCAGUGGCGAAGGCGACUCUCUGGUCUGUAACUGACGCUGAGGCGCGAAAGCGUGGGGAGCGAACAGGAUUAGAUACCCUGGUAGUCCACGCCGUAAACGAUGAGUGCUAAGUGUUAGAGGGUUUCCGCCCUUUAGUGCUGCAGCAAACGCAUUAAGCACUCCGCCUGGGGAGUACGGUCGCAAGACUGAAACUCAAAGGAAUUGACGGGGGCCCGCACAAGCGGUGGAGCAUGUGGUUUAAUUCGAAGCAACGCGAAGAACCUUACCAGGUCUUGACAUCCUCUGACAACCCUAGAGAUAGGGCUUCCCCUUCGGGGGCAGAGUGACAGGUGGUGCAUGGUUGUCGUCAGCUCGUGUCGUGAGAUGUUGGGUUAAGUCCCGCAACGAGCGCAACCCUUGAUCUUAGUUGCCAGCAUUCAGUUGGGCACUCUAAGGUGACUGCCGGUGACAAACCGGAGGAAGGUGGGGAUGACGUCAAAUCAUCAUGCCCCUUAUGACCUGGGCUACACACGUGCUACAAUGGGCAGAACAAAGGGCAGCGAAGCCGCGAGGCUAAGCCAAUCCCACAAAUCUGUUCUCAGUUCGGAUCGCAGUCUGCAACUCGACUGCGUGAAGCUGGAAUCGCUAGUAAUCGCGGAUCAGCAUGCCGCGGUGAAUACGUUC